rnacentral:tRNA from 1 species
GGAGGGUAUAGCUCAAGUGGUAGAGCACUUGCUUAGCAUGCAUGAGGUCCUGGGUUCAAUCCCCAGUACCUCCA